GUCGUACGCUUCUUUUUCCCCGGAGCUUGCUCCACCGGAAAAAGAAGAGUGGCGAACGGGUGAGUAACACGUGGGUAACCUGCCCAUCAGAAGGGGAUAACACUUGGAAACAGGUGCUAAUACCGUAUAACAAUCGAAACCGCAUGGUUUUGAUUUGAAAGGCGCUUUCGGGUGUCGCUGAUGGAUGGACCCGCGGUGCAUUAGCUAGUUGGUGAGGUAACGGCUCACCAAGGCCACGAUGCAUAGCCGACCUGAGAGGGUGAUCGGCCACAUUGGGACUGAGACACGGCCCAAACUCCUACGGGAGGCAGCAGUAGGGAAUCUUCGGCAAUGGACGAAAGUCUGACCGAGCAACGCCGCGUGAGUGAAGAAGGUUUUCGGAUCGUAAAACUCUGUUGUUAGAGAAGAACAAGGAUGAGAGUAACUGUUCAUCCCUUGACGGUAUCUAACCAGAAAGCCACGGCUAACUACGUGCCAGCAGCCGCGGUAAUACGUAGGUGGCAAGCGUUGUCCGGAUUUAUUGGGCGUAAAGCGAGCGCAGGCGGUUUCUUAAGUCUGAUGUGAAAGCCCCCGGCUCAACCGGGGAGGGUCAUUGGAAACUGGGAGACUUGAGUGCAGAAGAGGAGAGUGGAAUUCCAUGUGUAGCGGUGAAAUGCGUAGAUAUAUGGAGGAACACCAGUGGCGAAGGCGGCUCUCUGGUCUGUAACUGACGCUGAGGCUCGAAAGCGUGGGGAGCAAACAGGAUUAGAUACCCUGGUAGUCCACGCCGUAAACGAUGAGUGCUAAGUGUUGGAGGGUUUCCGCCCUUCAGUGCUGCAGCUAACGCAUUAAGCACUCCGCCUGGGGAGUACGACCGCAAGGUUGAAACUCAAAGGAAUUGACGGGGGCCCGCACAAGCGGUGGAGCAUGUGGUUUAAUUCGAAGCAACGCGAAGAACCUUACCAGGUCUUGACAUCCUUUGACCACUCUAGAGAUAGAGCUUCCCCUUCGGGGGCAAAGUGACAGGUGGUGCAUGGUUGUCGUCAGCUCGUGUCGUGAGAUGUUGGGUUAAGUCCCGCAACGAGCGCAACCCUUAUUGUUAGUUGCCAUCAUUCAGUUGGGCACUCUAGCAAGACUGCCGGUGACAAACCGGAGGAAGGUGGGGAUGACGUCAAAUCAUCAUGCCCCUUAUGACCUGGGCUACACACGUGCUACAAUGGGAAGUACAACGAGUCGCGAAGUCGCGAGGCUAAGCUAAUCUCUUAAAGCUUCUCUCAGUUCGGAUUGUAGGCUGCAACUCGCCUACAUGAAGCCGGAAUCGCUAGUAAUCGCGGAUCAGCACGCCGCGGUGAAUACGUUCCCGGGCCUUGUACACACCGCCCGUCACACCACGAGAGUUUUAACACCCGAAGUCGGUGAG
rnacentral:rRNA from 1 species